AGAGUUUGAUCCUGGCUCAGGACGAACGCUGGCGGCGUGCCUAAUACAUGCAAGUCGAGCGAGCGGAACUAACAGAUUUACUUCGGUAAUGACGUUAGGAAAGCGAGCGGCGGAUGGGUGAGUAACACGUGGGGAACCUGCCCCAUAGUCUGGGAUACCACUUGGAAACAGGUGCUAAUACCGGAUAAGAAAGCAGAUCGCAUGAUCAGCUUUUAAAAGGCGGCGUAAGCUGUCGCUAUGGGAUGGCCCCGCGGUGCAUUAGCUAGUUGGUAAGGUAAAGGCUUACCAAGGCGAUGAUGCAUAGUCGAGUUGAGAGACUGAUCGGCCACAUUGGGACUGAGACACGGCCCAAACUCCUACGGGAGGCAGCAGUAGGGAAUCUUCCACAAUGGACGCAAGUCUGAUGGAGCAACGCCGCGUGAGUGAAGAAGGUUUUCGGAUCGUAAAGCUCUGUUGUUGGUGAAGAAGGAUAGAGGUAGUAACUGGCCUUUAUUUGACGGUAAUCAACCAGAAAGUCACGGCUAACUACGUGCCAGCAGCCGCGGUAAUACGUAGGUGGCAAGCGUUGUCCGGAUUUAUUGGGCGUAAAGGCGAGCGCAGGCGGAAGAAUAAGUCUGAUGUGAAAGCCCUCGGCUUAACC
rnacentral:rRNA from 1 species